rnacentral:lncRNA from 1 species
UCAAUUAUUGUUCUUAUCUUCUAUUAUUUCUAUCAUGGUAUCAGAGCCGCUUGCCUAGAGCAAGCUCUCUUCUCGCUACCAAUUCAUCAUUGGUGUUGCCACUCUGCGCCAACGUCUGUUCCCUUCCGCUAUGGCAUCUCUAGUGCUGCUCAUCAGCACUGCCCCAUCUUUCUUCCUCGUUGUAGCUAUUUUCCUUCCUCUUCUGCUACAGCUUCCUCCACUGUUGCAGUUUCCUCCUUUGCUGUAGUAGCAUCACUGCAACAUUGCUGUAGAUUUCUUCUCUACCGUCGCAGCCGUCGUAAUCGCAACCACGACCGACGUCGUUGAGAAAAGCGAAGCUUCGCUCUUGACUUCGGCCAGCGACCAACGCCGUUGCAUUUCUAAGAGGCUCCGUGGUCAAUCCUCAUCUUCCUCACCGCGGUAGUCUUCACUAAUCUGUCAACAUUCGGCAGACUUAAGGAGAAUGAAAGGAACGCCUGUGCCAUCAUAGCAACAACAAUCGCAGCAGCAGCAGCAGCGAUCUACACUUAUCUUACUCACGAAGCCUCUUGCUUUAAACCAUUCUUUGCACCGAUCCAAGAUUGGUAUCCUUGUUAGGAGCACCAUCUUGCGGGGGCAUGAUAGAAGAUAAGAUUUCCCCGACUUGAUAGAGGAUAAGAUUUCCCCAAUUAUAUGAGGAAAUCUCUCUAUUUUGUUUAUUCUGUUGAGGGAAAUCCUUCCUCCUAAUCUGUAU